rnacentral:lncRNA from 1 species
UAACCGCCUGGUGAGUAGUUUUUUUUAGUUUUUAAGUAGAAUGUUCAUUAUGAUGAUAAGUAGUCGAUUAGGAGAAUUACUAUGUCACUUAUGGUCGUUGCCUCAUCCUCAUGUUUUUAUUAUUCAGAUUUGUUGUUUUGGGACAUAGAUAUUCUAGAUACCCAUUAUGGAAUCGAUAAAGUCUUCCUACUUCUCCAUUGUUCCAAUCAGAUUCGAAAAAUGAGAAAGAAAGAAAAAGUAAGUGGACCUAAAAAAAAUCAUAA